AAGGUUUUAAGUUAAUCAAACUAAUAAUCUUCAAAAUUAUAUAUAAAGAAAUAUUCUUUAAGCCUUA
rnacentral:tRNA from 1 species